rnacentral:rRNA from 1 species
UACGAAGGGGGCGAGCGUUGUUCGGAUUUACUGGGCGUAAAGGGCGCGUAGGCGGCGCGCGAAGUCGAGUGUGAAAGCCCCGGGCUCAACCUGGGAAUUGCGCUCGAUACUCUUGUGCUUGAGUUCGGGAGAGGAGCGUGGAAUUCCCAGUGUAGAGGUGAAAUUCGUAGAUAUUGGGAAGAACACCGGUGGCGAAGGCGGCGCUCUGGACCGAGACUGACGCUGAGGCGCGAAAGCGUGGGGAGCAAACAGG